AUUGAACGCUGGCGGCAGGCUUAACACAUGCAAGUCGAGCGGAGCGAGGGUGCUUGCACCUUAGCUUAGCGGCGGACGGGUGAGUAAUGCUUAGGAAUCUGCCUAUUAGUGGGGGACAACAUUCCGAAAGGAAUGCUAAUACCGCAUACGCCCUACGGGGGAAAGCAGGGGAUCUUCGGACCUUGCGCUAAUAGAUGAGCCUAAGUCGGAUUAGGUAGUUGGUGGGGUAAAGGCCUACCAAGGCGACGAUCUGUAGCGGUUCUGAGAGGAUGAUCCGCCACACUGGGACUGAGACACGGCCCAGACUCCUACGGGAGGCAGCAGUGGGGAAUAUUGGACAAUGGGCGGAAGCCUGAUCCAGCCAUGCCGCGUGUGUGAAGAAGGCCUUUUGGUUGUAAAGCACUUUAAGCGAGGAGGAGGCUACUUAGAUUAAUACUCUGGGAUAGUGGACGUUACUCGCAGAAUAAGCACCGGCUAACUCUGUGCCAGCCGCCGCAGUAACAC
rnacentral:rRNA from 1 species